rnacentral:tRNA from 1 species
GGAGUUGUGGCUCAGUGGUAGAGCAACUUGCCUGGCAUGUAUGAGGCCCUGGGUUCAAUCCUCAGCAUCA